GAUGAACGCUGGCGGCGUGCCUAAUACAUGCAAGUCGAGCGAACGGACGAGAAGCUUGCUUCUCUGAUGUUAGCGGCGGACGGGUGAGUAACACGUGGAUAACCUACCUAUAAGACUGGGAUAACUUCGGGAAACCGGAGCUAAUACCGGAUAAUAUUUUGCACCGCAUGGUUCAAAAGUGAAAGACGGUCUUGCUGUCACUUAUAGAUGGAUCCGCGCUGCAUUAGCUAGUUGGUAAGGUAACGGCUUACCAAGGCAACGAUGCAUAGCCGACCUGAGAGGGUGAUCGGCCACACGGGAACUGGGACACGGUCCAGACUCCUACGGGAGGCAGCAGUAGGGAAUCUUCCGCAAUGGGCGAAAGCCUGACGGAGCAACGCCGCGUGAGUGAUGAAGGUCUUCGGAUCGUAAAACUCUGUUAUUAGGGAAGAACAUAUGUGUAAGUAACUGUGCACAUCUUGACGGUACCUAAUCAGAAAGCCACGGCUAACUACGUG
rnacentral:rRNA from 1 species